rnacentral:rRNA from 1 species
AGCGCAGGUGGUUUCUUAAGUCUGAUGUAAAAGGCAGUGGCUCAACCAUUGUGUGCAUUGGAAACUGGGAGACUUGAGUGCAGGAGAGGAGAGUGGAAUUCCAUGUGUAGCGGUGAAAUGCGUAGAUAUAUGGAGGAACACCGGAGGCGAAAGCGGCUCUCUGGCCUGUAACUGACACUGAGGCUCGAAAGCGUGGGGAGCAAACA